CCUUGUAAACAGGAAAUAGGAAUCUCCAACAUAAAGGAAAAGACAAAAAACAAGAAAACUUGUUCAAUAGCUGACAUGCUUUGAGCUAACUUUUGAAAUAACAUUUAAUAUUUACAAUUACUCGUACAAAUAAUCCCAAAUGAAUAAUUCAUGAUAAUAAGGAAAAUCCUACACAAGCUAUAACAAGUAUCUUACAACAAAUUAUACAGCCAUUCAACCAAGUUCAAUGAAGAAAAGAUGGUGGCUAGCUCAUCAAGUCGAUCCUGCUGCUCCAGACACAUGCUCCAUGUUUUCAUCAAGACGAAAUUCCUUUCAUAUUCUUUCUUUUGGAUAGAAAAGAAAGAGAUUAAGAAAAAUCAUAAGCAGAGAAUGAUCCUCAAAAACUAGCAGGAAAAAAAAAAAUUAAUUAGAAAGGAAGAGAUUAAAAAAAUGAUGAGUGGAGGAUGAGAAAUCCUCAAAAAACUAGACCAGGAAAAAAGAAAAAAAAAAUAUAUACAAGAAAGAUAAAGCCUAAAAGAGGGCUUCCCUCCAGUCUCUCAUAGCAAAGCCACCACACUGCCCAUCCGAAUUAUCCAAAUCAAUUCUUUCGCCAUAUGAAACUUCAUGCAAGUACUAACAACAUUUCAAAAUUAAUGUCAAUCUAAUUUCACAAAGAGCUUUACAAAUAUAAUCAUGUAAUGAGGAACAAAAUAAACUUUAUGAAUGAAUUUAUGAGAUUCUAGUAUAAGAGAACUAACCAUGUAUCCAGUAAUGCAGCUAAAACUUGAAAGGUGGGUAGUGCAAGAAGAGAGAAAAACAUCACACCAUGAGUGAAAAUAAUUCAACCCUCUUGUAUGAGCUUGCUUCGUUAUAUUUCAUAUAUGCAUCUUCAUCAAGACCAAGCAUAUUCUUGCAGCCUCUGCCAUCUGCUGUUGUUGAAGG
rnacentral:lncRNA from 1 species